AUUCAAGUCAGAGACACUAUCUUGCAAACUCAUUAGAAGAUGUGAUGUGCUAAAACUCAUAGAAGGUCUAGUUCUUGGGACAAUUGGGAUAUCAGAUUCACCUUCCAGCAUUUGGACUACACUUCUCAUUGUUGGUCUAGCCGUAGGGUCGGGAUGUGAACAAGCUAGCCCAAUCAUUAGAACCCUUCUCAUUUCUUGUUCAUCAAACUCACCACAGAGUCUUGAAUCAGCUGCAUUUAGUAAAUUCCCUUCUCUAUGCACCCCCCAUACCCAUUCAACCAA
rnacentral:misc_RNA from 1 species